rnacentral:rRNA from 1 species
GAUGAACGCUGGCGGCGUGCUUAACACAUGCAAGUCGAACGAUGAACCGGGUGCUUGCACUCGGGGAUUAGUGGCGAACGGGUGAGUAACACGUGAGCACCCUGCCCCUGACUCUGGGAUAAGCGCUGGAAACGGCGUCUAAUACUGGAUAUGUCCCGUCACCGCAUGGUGUGCGGGUGGAAAGAUGUUUCGGUUGGGGAUGGGCUCGCGGCCUAUCAGCUUGUUGGUGCGGUAAUGGCUCACCAAGGCGUCGACGGGUCGCCGGCCUGAGAGGGUGACCGGCCACACUGGGACUGAGACACGGCCCAGACUCCUACGGGAGGCAGCAGUGGGGAAUAUUGCACAAUGGGCGGAAGCCUGAUGCAGCAACGCCGCGUGAGGGAUGACGGCCUUCGGGUUGUAAACCUCUUUUAGCAGGGAAGAAGCGAGAGUGACGGUACCUGCAGAAAAAGCACCGGCUAACUACGUGCCAGCAGCCGCGGUAA